rnacentral:lncRNA from 1 species
AAUAUUUUGUAACAGUGCAUACUAUUUUGAGUAAUUUAGGGCAUGCUUAAUGACCUCAUAUUAUUGUACUUAAUGACCUCAUACGAUUUCGAGUAUUACUAGCAUCAUAUGCCUGAUUUUUGUGAUGAGAUUUUAUUACGGAAUCGUUCUAAACUAAAUUAUCUUAACAAGCUUUAAGUUUUGUUUGAACAUGUAACAGUGGUCCUGCUUUCUGUGUCAAAUCUUUGUUUUCCUUCUUCCCUAAUAACAUAUUAUUGUUCUCGAGCAACAAAUUUGGUUCUUAAAAGUUGCCAUGUUUUGUUGUUUCGUUGGUGUUGAAUUUGGUAUCAAUUUUAUCUUGUUCUUCGCUUUGAAGGGUGUAAAGGAACCUUCCAUAUGUUCUUUAUGAAAUACUUAAUUGCUUUUCUAGUCAUGUUAAAAAUGUCAACGUUAGCAGUUGGUCUAAGAAGGGUUUCCUUUGAGUUGUUUGAGUUCAAUUCAACAAAAAUAUGUACUCAUUCGAGACUGAAUGACCAUUGAGGUCCAUAAGUGUUAAGAAGAACAUGAGUAUGAGAUAUUAAAUUAUAUAUGUUUUGGUAAAUUUGCUUUCUUCCUAAAUAAUUCAUGAUUUCUCUGAAAACCCGAAUUUCAGUAUUGACUGAACAUUCUUAGUAAUGUAGGGGAAUAUGAUUUUCUUAAAUUACCCAUGUUCACACGUUUUUUUCUGUAUCUUUUGAUGUGGUUGCUUUUAGUUCUUAGGAGUGAUGUUGUAGGUUUAUGCUUCCAAUACAAAAUUAAAUAAAGAUCUUUUCAACAUGAUAUUGGUUUAGAAUCCUAUAAGCACAUAAAAGUGAUUAUUGUGGUCAUUUUCUUGUUUGAUUUUGAAUUGCUACUGUGGUUUUUGUUUUCAUUUUCUAAGUUGCAUUCUUUAAGGCAAGCAUGAAUUAACAAGUGUUUUGGAUCAUUUUGUUUAGAAUUAUAUCCUAUUGAGAUAACACAGUAUUUGGAUCAAUCUUAUUAGGUAAAAUUAAUUUGGGGUGUAUUCUAUGUUCUUGUAUUUAAUCUUUUUGGUUGCUGUUUGUUCUAAUUUGUUUUGUUUUUGCUGAUUUUUAUGCUUGUAUAUUGAUUGACAGUUUUCUUGAAUGCGGUUUUGGUUGAGUUUGGACAAUGUUAAUGUUGUGAUGUUGGUUGCAUUUGUUUAGGUGAUAUUCUAUGUAUUUUGAGAUGUUAUGUCUUAGUAUUUGUCAAGUGGAAUAGUGGGGAAGGUGCGAGGGUGGCAUUUGGAGCUUGGAUGUAGAUUCUAGGAAACUUGUUUUAGGUUACCGUUUGGACAGUUAACUGUGCAUUUGGAGCUUGUUUGUAUUUGUCAACUGUGCACUUCUUUAUCUUUUAGCUUCUUUGGAUGACCGUUUGGACAGUUAAUUUGGUUUUGGAUUAAGUUUAAAGGCUGCUUACAAUUUGGUUUUGUUUUGUUUUUCAAGGUUCGACUCUGUAUGUUUUGAUUGUUGUAUCACAUGCCUAUGCGUAGAUUCUCAUUUAGUGAAAUGUUACAUGUGUCAAAUAUGAUUAUUUUUGGAAGAACUAAGAACUUUUUUCAGAGUGUCAAAUAUGUCCUUUGGUUCCUUGUAAUUAUAUUUAUUUUUCUGUCAUUUCCAUUUUAACAUUAUAUUAUCAGAUACUUAAAUAUUUGUAUCUUCAAUCUCUUCUUUGCCAUGUUUCAAAAUGGCCGAGUUUUUGUAGUUUAACCAUAUAUAUG